CUGCUAUCCGCUAACCGGGAAGCCCGUGUCGCGGAAGGUUUUCUCCUGCAUCGUGUCGAGUGAAGCACUCGUAAAGGUGAAGCG
rfam:Achromobacter sp. DMS1 scaffold131, whole genome shotgun sequence.